rnacentral:tmRNA from 1 species
GGGGCUGCACUGGUUUCGACAUGGGUUCGGGCGCGCAGCAGGGCAUGUCGAGGUUCUGUCACCUCGUAAAACCGCAGAAAAAAACUAACUGCAAACGACGAA